rnacentral:rRNA from 1 species
AAAGAUUAAGCCAUGCAUGUCUCAGUACUUGCUUUAACAAGGCGAAACCGCGAAUGGCUCAUUAAAUCAGUUAUGGUUCACUAGAUCGUACAGUUUACAUGGAUACUGUGGUAAUUCUAGAGCUAAUACAUGCAACCAGUCCGUUCCCUCGUGGAGCGGACGCAGUUAUUUGCCCAAGACCAAUCCGGCCUCGGGUCGGUCAAUUGGUGACUCUGAAUACCGAAGCGGAGCGCAUGAUCUCGUAUCGGCGCCAGAUCUUUCAAGUGUCUGACUUAUCAGCUUGUUGUUAGGUUAUGUUCCUAACAAGGCUUUUACGGGUAACGGAGUGUCAGGGCCCGACACCGGAGAGGGAGCCUGAGAAACGGCUACCACAUCCAAGGAAGGCAGCAGGCGCGCAAAUUACCCACUCCCGGCACGGGGAGGUAGUGACGAAAAAUAACGAUGCGAGAGCUUUUAGCUUCUCGUAAUCGGAAUGGGUACACUUUAAAUCCUUUAACGAGGAUCUAUUGGAGGGCAAGUCUGGUGCCAGCAGCCGCGGUAAUUCCAGCUCCAAUAGCGUAUAUUAAAGUUGCUGCGGUUAAAAAGCUCGUAGUUGGAUCUGGGUAGUCGAUGGACGGUUCUUCGUAAGAAGAUACUGCCCGUUCGGCACCACAGCCCGGCCAUGUCUUGCAUGCUCUUCACUGAGUGUGCUUGGCGACCGGAACGUUUACUUUGAAAAAAUUAGAGUGCUCAAAGCAGGCGUUAAGCCUUGUAUAAUGGUGCAUGGGAUAAUGGAAUAAGAUUUUUGGCUUGUUCUGUUGGUCUUAGAGUCAGUAGUAAUGAUAAAUAGG